GGAUGAUCCGCCACACUGGGACUGAGACACGGCCCAGACUCCUACGGGAGGCAGCAGUGGGGAAUAUUGGACAAUGGGGGGAACCCUGAUCCAGCCAUGCCGCGUGUGUGAAGAAGGCCUUUUGGUUGUAAAGCACUUUAAGCGAGGAGGAGGCUACCUAGAUUAAUACUUUAGGAUAGUGGACGUUACUCGCAGAAUAAGCACCGGCUAACUCUGUGCCAGCAGCCGCGGUAAUACAGAGGGUGCGAGCGUUAAUCGGAUUUACUGGGCGUAAAGCGUGCGUAGGCGGCCAAUUAAGUCAAAUGUGAAAUCCCCGAGCUUAACUUGGGAAUUGCAUUCGAUACUGGUUGGCUAGAGUAUGGGAGAGGAUGGUAGAAUUCCAGGUGUAGCGGUGAAAUGCGUAGAGAUCUGGAGGAAUACCGAUGGCGAAGGCAGCCAUCUGGCCUAAUACUGACGCUGAGGUACGAAAGCAUGGGGAGCAAACAGGAUUAGAUACCCUGGUAGUCCAUGCCGUAAACGAUGUCUACUAGCCGUUGGGGCCCUUGAGGCUUUAGUGGCGCAGCUAACGCGAUAAGUAGACCGCCUGGGGAGUACGGUCGCAAGACUAAAACUCAAAUGAAUUGACGGGGGCCCGCACAAGCGGUGGAGCAUGUGGUUUAAUUCGAUGCAACGCGAAGAACCUUACCUGGCCUUGACAUAC
rnacentral:rRNA from 1 species